rnacentral:tRNA from 1 species
GCCUGGGUGGCUCAGUCGGUUGAGCGUCCGACUUGCGCUCAGGUCAUGAUCUCACGGUGUGUGGGUUCAAGCCCUGCAUCAGGCU